UCGCUUUGGCAGCACAUCUACUAAAACUGGAAUGAUACAGAGAUUAGCAUGGCCCCUGCGCAAGGAUGACAUGCAAACUUGUGAAGUGUUCCAUAUUUAU
rnacentral:snRNA from 1 species